rnacentral:tRNA from 1 species
AUAGGCGGUGGGUUGUAAUUCCAUUUAUGGGGUGAGUUCCUCUCUUUACAU